rnacentral:rRNA from 1 species
GACGAACGCUGGCGGCGCGCUUAACACAUGCAAGUCGAACGGAAAGGCCUGCUUUCCCUUGUGGAUUGCGGGUACUCGCGUGGCGAACGGGUGAGUAACACGUGAGUGAUCUGCCCCCAACUUGGGUAUAAGCCUGGGAAACUGGGUCUAAUUCCCGAUAGGACUGCAGGGUGGUGCCUGUGGUUGCAAACGAUUUUCUAGUGGUUGGGGAUGAGCUCGCGGCCUAUCAGCUUGUUGGUGGGGUAAUGGCCUACCAAGGCGGCGACGGGUAGCCGGCCUGAGAGGGUGGACGGCCACAUUGGGACUGAGAUACGGCCCAGACUCCUACGGGAGGCAGCAGUGGGGAAUAUUGCGCAAUGGGCGGAAGCCUGAUGCAGCGACGCCGCGGGGGGGAUGACGGCCUUCGGGUUGUAAACUCCUUUCGACCGCGAGGAAGCCACCUGGUUGGAAGGGUGGUGACGGUAGUGGUAGAAGAAGCACCGGCUAACUACGUG